AUUGAACGCUGGCGGCAUGCCUUACACAUGCAAGUCGAACGGUAACGGGCCUUCGGGUGCCGACGAGUGGCGAACGGGUGAGUAAUACAUCGGAACGUGCCCGAUCGUGGGGGAUAACGAGGCGAAAGCUUUGCUAAUACCGCAUACGAUCUACGGAUGAAAGCAGGGGACCGCAAGGCCUUGCGCGGACGGAGCGGCCGAUGGCAGAUUAGGUAGUUGGUGGGAUAAAAGCUUACCAAGCCGACGAUCUGUAGCUGGUCUGAGAGGAUGAUCAGCCACACUGGGACUGAGACACGGCCCAGACUCCUACGGGAGGCAGCAGUAGGGAAUUUUGGACAAUGGGCGCAAGCCUGAUCCAGCCAUGCCGCGUGCAGGAUGAAGGCCUUCGGGCUGUAAACUGCUUUUGUACGGAACGAAAAGCCUUCUUUUAAUACAGGAGGGUCAUGACGGUACCGUAAGAAUAAGCACCGGCUAACUACGUG
rnacentral:rRNA from 1 species